GGCAAAGAGCAAAGAUUUUUUUUUUCCUCAUGUUCUCAUCCCUUAGCUGGAAGAUGCUGCAACAGCUGUAUUCCUUCGGCUGCUAGCAAGAGGAAGCCCUACAGAGACCAUCUAAUGAUGCUUAACCAUACUGACCACCUGCACUAAAUAUAAUACAGGAAGAUGAUGGUAAGGACAGCAGAACAGAGAUGGAAUAAGAUGCCAGUUCCAUGCAGGUCACAUUUAGCUCCAGAUUGUUUUCACAUCAGAUUUAGCUGGCAUCAUAUCCUAGGAUUCUGCACUUGGAGUGAACCAGUUUACAGACUGAUGGAAAAAAACAAUGCUUAGUGAAGAAAGAAACACUUCAAAGAAUUUUCUUCCUUUAAUAUCCUUUAACAGGUCACUGAUGGUUGCCACCAUGAUUCUUCACUGUUUGUGGUCACUUACAGAGCUGCAGGUGCAAAACAGACCUUUUAAUC